rnacentral:rRNA from 1 species
GGAAUAUUGCGCAAUGGAGGAAACUCUGACGCAGUGACGCCGCGUAUAGGAAGAAGGUUUUCGGAUUGUAAACUAUUGUCCACAGGGAAGAUAAAAGACUGUACCUGUGAAGAAAGCUCCGGCUAACUACGUGCCAGCAGCCGCGGUAAUACGUAGGGAGCAAGCGUUAGCCGGAAUUAUUGGGUGUAAAGGGUGCGUAGACGGGAUAACAAGUUGGUUGUGAAACCCCUCGGCUCAACUGAGGAACUGCAACCAAAACUACUAUUCUUGAGUGCAGGAGAGGAAAGUGGAAUUCCUAGUGUAGCGGUGAAAUGCGUAGAUAUUAGGAAGAACACCGGUGGCGAAGGCGACUUUCUGGACUGUAACUGACGUUGAGGCACGAAAGUGUGGGGAGCAAAC